UACGGGGGGGGGCAAGCGUUUGUUCGGAAUUACUGGGCGUAAAGGGCUCGUAGGCGGCCAACUAAGUCAGACGUGAAAUCCCUCGGCUUAACCGGGGAACUGCGUCUGAUACUGGAUGGCUUGAGUUUGGGGAGAGGGAUGCGGAAUUCCAGGUGUAGCGGUGAAAUGCGUAGAUAUCUGGAGGAACACCGGUGGCGAAGGCGGCAUCC
rnacentral:rRNA from 1 species